rnacentral:rRNA from 1 species
UACGUAGGUGGCAAGCGUUUGUCCGGAAUUAUUGGGCGUAAAGCGCGCGCAGGCGGUCCUUUAAGUCUGAUGUGAAAGCCCACGGCUCAACCGUGGAGGGUCAUUGGAAACUGGGGGACUUGAGUACAGAAGAGAAGAGUGGAAUUCCACGUGUAGCGGUGAAAUGCGUAGAGAUGUGGAGGAACACCAGUGGCGAAGGCGACACGCUGGGCCGUACCUGACACUGGAUGCGCGACAGCAUGGGGAGCAAACAGGAUUACGAAACCCGGUA